CACGGAAGCCCCAAGCGUUGUUCGGAUUUAUUGGGCGUAAAGGGUGCGUAGGCGGCGUGGAAAGUCUGGUGUGAAAGGCGGGGGCUCAACCCCUGGAUUGCACUGGAUACUUCCAUGCUUGAGGACUGGAGGGGAGACUGGAAUUCACGGUGUAGCAGUGAAAUGCGUAGAUAUCGUGAGGAAGACCAGUGGCGAAGGCGAGUCUCUGGACAGUUCCUGACGCUGAGGCACGAAGGCUAGGGUAGCGAACAGG
rnacentral:misc_RNA from 1 species